GAUGAAGAACGCAGCGAACGUGCGAAACGUAAUGUGAAUUGCAGAAUUCAGUGAAUCAUCGAAUCUUUGAACGCAUCUUGCGCUCCUUGGUAUUCCGAGGAGCAUGCCUGUUUGAGUGUCGUGAAUACUCUCAACUUCAACCCUUUUUUCGGAAAGGGAGGAAGGUUGGACUUGGGUGUUUGUUGAAGUGCGAGCUUCGACUCAUCCUAAAUGCAUUAGCGAUCUGCCUCGAUCACACACAAGGUGAUAAUUAAAACUAAAGCAUUGUUUAAUGAUCAAGUCGAGACUGCUUCUAACUGUCGCAAGACAAUAACGUGCAUACAUUUGUGCAUGUCAUUUGACCUCAAAUCAGGUAGGACUACCCGCUGAACUUAAGCAUAUCAAUAAGCGGAGGA
rnacentral:misc_RNA from 1 species